rnacentral:rRNA from 1 species
CGGCGAGUGAAGCGCAACAGCUCAAAUUUGAAAUCUGGCCUCGGCCCGAGUUGUAAUUUGCAGAGGAUGCUUCUGGCGCGGUGCCUUCCGAGUUCCCUGGAACGGACGCCACAGAGGGUGAGAGCCCCGUAUGGUCGGACACCAAGCCUGUGUGAAGCUCCUUCGACGAGUCGAGUAGUUUGGGAAUGCUGCUCUAAAUGGGAGGUAAAUCUCUUCUAAAGCUAAAUACCGGCCAGAGACCGAUAGCGCACAAGUAGAGUGAUCGAAAGAUGAAAAGCACCUUGAAAAGGGGGUUAAAUAGUACGUGAAAUUGUUGAAAGGGAAGCACUUAUGACCAGACUUGGGCCGGGCGGCUCAUCAGGGGUUCUCCCCUGUGCACUCCGCCCGGUACAGGCCAGCAUCGGUUUUCGCGGGGGGAUAAGACCGACGGGAACGUAGCACCCCUCCGGGGUGUGUUAUAGCCCGGCGGACGAUACCCUUUUUCGGGGACCGAGGACCGCGCUUCGGCAAGGAUGC